GACGAACGCUGGCGGCGUGCUUUACACAUGCAAGUCGAACGGUAACAGGCCGCAAGGUGCUGACGAGUGGCGAACGGGUGAGUAAUGCAUCGGAACGUGCCCAGUCGUGGGGGAUAACGCAGCGAAAGCUGCGCUAAUACCGCAUACGAUCUCUGGAUGAAAGCGGGGGACCGAAAGGCCUCGCGCGAUUGGAGCGGCCGAUGUCAGAUUAGGUAGUUGGUGGGGUAAAGGCCCACCAAGCCAACGAUCUGUAGCUGGUCUGAGAGGACGACCGGCCACACUGGGACUGAGACACGGCCCAGACUCCUACGGGAGGCAGCAGUGGGGAAUUUUGGACAAUGGGCGCAAGCCUGAUCCAGCAAUGCCGCGUGCAGGAAGAAGGCCUUCGGGUUGUAAACUGCUUUUGUACGGAACGAAACGGUCCUGGUUAAUACCUGGGGCUAAUGACGGUACCGUAAGAAUAAGCACCGGCUAACUACGUACCAGCCGCCGCCGUAAUAC
rnacentral:rRNA from 1 species